AGAGAGUCCCUAGACCGCCAAACACAUUCAUGGUUUUCUCAAACGAAUGGAAACCAACAAAAAGAUCAGUAUGAGGUAAGACGGUAGAUACACAAGACCAUGACCCCUUAUACAGCUAAACUGAUUCGAUCUGACCCAGUUUUCUGAAGGUCGAGGGGCCGAGCUACCCUCAUAUAGUAGCGACCAGAUAUCCCAGACCGGAAAGAACGAAGCAAUAGGUACAGAAGGGGAGGAAGGAAGCUACUGUGAGCAGGUAGACGGGUAUCAGCCCACGUUAAAUGAGACAGGUCUAGAGGUCUUAGCUCCGAGGACAUCAAAUAAUAUAAAGAAAACGUCGCAGGACCCAUUGCUGACAAUAUUACAGUUGCUACAUGGAAACAAACAAGAAAACGUUAAGUUAGCAGAACAACUGACACCCACUAUUCGGGAAGUUAAGCAAGAUUUUAGGAAAGCCAAGCAGGAAUUAUCUGAUAAAUUUGAAGCCUCCGAGAAGCACAAUUCUCCAUCAACGUUCAUCGGCGUGCAGCGACCACGUAGUAUGUCGGGGAUAUCGCAGCAACUAAGAUGUGUAUGAAUGCAUACGACGCGAUGUUAUUCACGUACAGACUAGAGGUUUGAUGUUUCUUUGAAGAUGUCUUAUCAUAUACAUGUUUUAUAUUAAACACACAAUUUCUUUUGAGGUACUCAAGCAUGACGUAACUCGAACAUCAUAUUCCUUUCAAAAUUACAUACUAAUGUUAUUAUACAAACAGCAUUUAGUGCCAGAUAACUCAGAACGUAAAAUUCAGAACAUUAGUCCACCAGUAUAUUACAGGUCUUAGAAAAAAUUGUCAGAAAUGGUGGUUCAUAAACGUAAAUGGAAAUGUUUCAAAUUAUUAUAAACAUGUGCAUUUUUUAUAUUAAAACACUAUUUGUCUUGAGGUA